CACACCGCCCGUCACACCACGAAAGCCGAUGGCACCAGAAGUCGUCGACGCUAACCCGCAAGGGAGGCAGGCGCCCAAGGUAUAAUUGGUGAUUGGGGUG
rnacentral:rRNA from 1 species